rnacentral:rRNA from 1 species
GAUGAACGCUGGCGGCGUGCCUAAUACAUGCAAGUCGAGCGAACGGACGAGAAGCUUGCUUCUCUGAUGUUAGCGGCGGACGGGUGAGUAACACGUGGAUAACCUACCUAUAAGACUGGGAUAACUUCGGGAAACCGUAGCUAAUACCGGAUAAUAUUUUGAACCGCAUGGUUCAAAAGUGAAAGACGGUCUUGCUGUCACUUAUAGAUGGAUCCGCGCUGCAUUAGCUAGUUGGUAAGGUAACGGCUUACCAAGGCAACGAUGCAUAGCCGACCUGAGAGGCUGAUCGGCCACACGGGAACGGAGACACGGUCCAGACUCCUACGGGAGGCAGCAGUAGGCAACCUGCCGCAAUGGGCGAAAGCCUGACGGAGCAACGCCGCGUGAGUGAUGGCGGUCUUCGGAUCGUAAAGCUCUGUUAUUAGGGAAGAACAUAUGUGUACGUAACUGUGCACAUCUUGACGGUACCUAAUCAGAAAGCCACGGCUAACUACGUG